rnacentral:rRNA from 1 species
GAUGAACGCUGGCGGUAUGCUUAACACAUGCAAGUCGAACGGACUCUUCGGAGUUAGUGGCGGACGGGUGAGUAACGCGUGAGAAUCUGGCUUUGGGUUCGGGACAACCACUGGAAACGGUGGCUAAUACCGGAUGUGCCGAGAGGUAAAAGAGAAAUUGCCUGAAGAUGAGCUCGCGUCUGAUUAGCUAGUUGGUGAGGUAAAGGCUCACCAAGGCAGCGAUCAGUAGCUGGUCUGAGAGGAUGACCAGCCACACUGGGACUGAGACACGGCCCAGACUCCUGCGGGAGGCAGCAGUGGGGAAUUUUCCGCAAUGGGCGAAAGCCUGACGGAGCAAUACCGCGUGAGGGAAGAAGGCUCUUGGGGUGUAAACCUCUUUUCUUAGGGAAGAACAAAAUGACGGUACCUAAUGAAUCAGCAUCGGCUAACUCCGUG